rnacentral:rRNA from 1 species
UGGGGAAUAUUGCGCAAUGGGGGAAACCCUGACGCAGCAACGCCGCGUGAGUGAGGAAGGACUUCGGUCUGUAAAGCUCUGUUAAUGUGGAAAAAUGGUAGUUGGUCUAAUAGGCCGAUUAUUUGAUGGUACACAUAGAGGAAGCACCGGCUAACUUCGUGCCAGCAGCCGCGGUAAUACGAAGGGUGCAAGCGUUGUUCGGAUUUAUUGGGCGUAAAGCGCGCGUAGGCGGACCUGCAAGUCAGAUGUG